CUUGGGUGCCUUCAAACACACAGCAUCCCCACAGCACCCAGCACCCCUUCCCUUCCCCACCAUGAGUCCUCGGCCUCACGCCUUCGCCCUCCUCCUCCUCCUGGCCGCCGUCCCAGGGCUGCGGGCGGCCGAGACCUUGGAUGAGUCCGGAGGGGGCCUCGUGAGUCCCGGGGGGUCCCUGACCCUGGUCUGCAAGGGCUCCGGCUUCACCUUCAGCAGC